rnacentral:sRNA from 1 species
GGGUAUACAAGGACAACUUGGAGGACAUAUCUUCGUAUUCACGUACGUCUUAAGCAAGACACGGAUUGCAUGGGUUUUGAUACAGAAAUGUGAUGUACACAAUUCGUAAUAUGCAUAGGUGCAUGUAAAGUCUUAAUAGUAUCCUGCUCGUAUUGUUGUAAGUGGACCUUGUAUUGUGUUAACAGGUGGAUGUGCCUCACGCAGAUAUUCCAAGCGAGGCCCAAUCUUCAAAUCCAGUAUUCGUGGAGCCAAUGGCUCUUCAAGUCAGAUACGGAGAAUGGUUAAAGUCCUUUAAUAAAAUAAUUUUAAAUAUUUGUUGUUCUUAAUCAAAGAUACAGAGGCGAUGAUUAUAGAGAAGACGUUUCCCACCUCAAUGAAGGAUUCAAGGGUUUUAAAACAAUAUCUAUCUAUCUAUCAAAUAUCUACGCCUGUUGAUCGUAUCAAUAUGUCAACUUUAAAUCAAUUUAUUUGUGUUUGGUAUCCAUCAUCCUCAUCAACAAACUCCAUUUAAGUGAGUGCUUGAGAGGUUCGAAUCCUGUAUCGCAAAAGCCCUGGGCAAAAAUCAUGCUGUUUUGCGCAAUGCGUAUAUUGGUGGGAAGCGUGGUCGAGAGGCUAAGUGCGCUUGGACUUGGCUUGUCUUU